rnacentral:rRNA from 1 species
UACGAAGGGGGCUAGCGUUGCUCGGAAUCACUGGGCGUAAAGGGGUGCGUAGGCGGGUCUUUAAGUCAGGGGUGAAAUCCUGGAGCUCAACUCCAGAACUGCCUUUGAUACUGAAGAUCUUGAGUUCGGGAGAGGUGAGUGGAACUGCGAGUGUAGAGGUGAAAUUCGUAGAUAUUCGCAAGAACACCAGUGGCGAAGGCGGCUCACUGGCCCGAUACUGACGCUGAGGUACGAAAAGCGUGGGGAGCAAACAGG